GGCUCUGUAGUUGAAGAUUAGUACAACAAUAAAUUGCAAAUUUGAGAGUGUGGUUAAAACCCAUCGGGGCAU
rnacentral:tRNA from 1 species